rnacentral:rRNA from 1 species
AUGGAGCCCAUCCCUCUCCUGACGCCGUACAAGAUGGGCCAGCUCAACCUCGCCCACCGGAUCGUCCUGGCCCCGCUCACCCGCCAGCGCUCCUACGGCAACGUGCCGCAGCCGCACGCCGCCUUGUACUACUCCCAGCGCGCCUCCGCCGGCGGGUUGCUCAUCACCGAGGCCACCGGGGUCUCCGACACGGCCCAGGGGUACCGCGAUACACCGGGCGUCUGGACGGCGGAGCACGUCGAGGCAUGGAAGUCAAUUGUCGAUGCAGUGCACGCCAAGGGCGCGCUCAUCUUCUGCCAGAUCUGGCACGUCGGCCGCGUGUCCACCUAUGAGUACCAGCCCGGCGGUGCCGCGCCGCUGUCGUGCACGGACAAGGGGGUGGGCCCGCAAAUGAGCUAUGACGGGAGGCUGGAGGAGUUCGCGCCGCCGAGGAGGCUCAAGGUGGAGGAGAUACCGGCCAUCGUCGACGACUUCAGGAAGGCGGCCAGGAACGCCAUCGACGCUGGUUUUGACGGUGUGGAGAUCCACGGGGCGAAUGGGUACCUAAUUGAGCAGUUCCUCAAGGACAGUGCGAAUGACCGCACCGACGAGUAUGGUGGCAGCAUUGAGAACCGGUGUCGCUUUGCUCUCGAGGUGGAGGAGAUACCGGCCAUCGUCGACGACUUCAGGAAGGCGGCCAGGAACGCCAUCGACGCUGGUUUUGACGGUGUGGAGAUCCACGGGGCGAAUGGGUACCUAAUUGAGCAGUUCCUCAAGGACAGUGCGAAUGACCGCACCGACGAGUAUGGUGGCAGCAUCGAGAACCGGUGUCGCUUUGCUCUCGAGGUGGUGGAUGCCGUCGUGAAGGAGGUCGGUGGCCACCGUGUGGGCAUCCGCCUCUCCCCCUUCACCGACUACAUGGACUGCCACGACUCUGACCCGCACGCCCUCGCGCUCCACAUGUCCACCAAACUCAACAACUACAACAUCAUCUAUCUCCACAUGGUCGAGCCGAGGAUGGCCAUCGUUGAUGGACGAAGGGUGGUCCCGAAGCGCUUGCUGCCAUACAGGGAGGCGUUCAAGGGUACAUUUAUGGCCAAUGGCGGGUACGACCGCGAGGAAGGGGGCAAGGUGGUCGCUGAUGGGUACACUGAUUUGGUCUCCUUCGGGCGAUCGUUCUUGGCGAAUCCAGACCUGCCAAAGAGGUUUGAGAUCGGCGCAGAGCUGAACAAGUAUGAUAGGAUGACCUUCUACAUCUCUGACCCCGUCAUCGGCUACACUGACUACCCCUUCCUCGAUUAA